rnacentral:pre_miRNA from 1 species
GAUAGAAUUGCUGGGUGUGAUGGUAAAUAUAUGUUUAAGUUUAUAAGGAACUGUCAGACUGUUUUCCAAAGUGAUAAUACCAUUUUGAAUUCCUGGCAGUAAU